rnacentral:lncRNA from 1 species
GGGGUGAGGUUACAACCUUGAAGUGGGGAUGUUGAUAUAGGAUUAUAAAAAGUGGGGUAAUGAAAUACACGGGACAACAACGAUGGGAUUAGGAGAAAAAAAAAGAAGAGUAAUUUGGGAAAAGGAGCACACCGUGUCACCCCGACCCCUCACGUAAAUAAAAUAAAAUCCAAUCUAGAAUUUCUGAACAAGAUUUUAACAGUGUUGUUCACUUUUUUUUCUUUUUUUUUGGAGGGGGGGAGGGCAUUAUAGAAAAAUCUCCCAUCUCUCACUCAAAAUAUGGAUAACUUUAUGUCAAGGGGUCUAUAAUUCUAUUUGACAGCUACAGACAUAAUAAUUUUGUACCUUUUUCAGCUACACAAAAUCCUUUACGUUAACUUAAAAAGUUUGUUUUAUUAGUAAUUUAUUCUCUCUACUUAUUUAAAAAA